rnacentral:rRNA from 1 species
GACGUACGCUGGCGGCGUGCUUAACACAUGCAAGUCGAACGGAAAGGCCCCCUUGUGGGGUACUCGAGUGGCGAACGGGUGAGUAACACGUGAGUAACCUACCCUUGACUUUGGGAUAACUUCAGGAAACUGGGGCUAAUACCGGAUAGGAGCUCCUGCUGCAUGGUGGGGGUUGGAAAGUUUCGGCGGUUGGGGAUGGACUCGCGGCUUAUCAGCUUGUUGGUGGGGUAGUGGCUCACCAAGGCUUUGACGGGUAGCCGGCCUGAGAGGGUGACCGGCCACAUUGGGACUGAGAUACGGCCCAGACUCCUACGGGAGGCAGCAGUGGGGAAUAUUGCACAAUGGGCGGAAGCCUGAUGCAGCAACGCCGCGUGCGGGAUGACGGCCUUCGGGUUGUAAACCGCUUUCGCCUGUGACGAAGCGUGAGUGACGGUAAUGGGUAAAGAAGCACCGGCUAACUACGUG